ensembl:lncRNA
AGUACGGACGUGAGUGGGAAGACGCACAUCCUUGACUGGACAGCGUCAGUGGAGAUGUUUACAAGGCAAGUUGUAAAAUAUGUCGGCGAGUGUUUUCAGUGGCGCACGGUGGGCUGUCUGACAUCAGACAGCAUGCAACAGGAGAGCAACGCUGCAGACACGAAAGAUCACAGAAGACCCAAGCGUCAGUGUCACAGUUCUUCAUACCCCAAUCAUCUCCUGAGGUUGAUACGGGUCAGCCCAGCAAACUGAGGCUUUUAUGCACCUUAGGGUGGCGCACAAACAUUUGUUUACCGGUGGAAGGGAUGCUGCCACUAUCGUGCUUUCCCGCGAUUCAAAUCCUGACCUACCACCGAUCCUGCCUGCUCUCUGAUCCCUGCCUGUCUGACUCUUCUGCCGGUUCCUGAUCCCCGCCUGUCUGACUAUUCUCCCGGUUCCUGAUCCCUGCCUGUCUGACUCUUCUGCCGGUUCCUGAUCCCCGCCUGUCUGACUAUUCUGCCGGUUCCUGAUCCCCGCCUGUCUGACUAUUCUGCCUGCCGAUCCUGUAUCCAAAUAAACUAUUGACACUGUUCCAC